rnacentral:rRNA from 1 species
GAUGAACGCUGGCGGCGUGCUUAACACAUGCAAGUCGAACGAAGCACUCUAUUUGAUUUUCUUCGGAAAUGAAGAUUUUGUGACUGAGUGGCGGACGGGUGAGUAACGCGUGGGUAACCUGCCUCAUACAGGGGGAUAACAGUUGGAAACGACUGCUAAUACCGCAUAAGCGCACAGGAUCGCAUGAUCUGGUGUGAAAAACUCCGGUGGUAUGGGAUGGACCCGCGUCUGAUUAGCCAGUUGGCAGGGUAACGGCCUACCAAAGCGACGAUCAGUAGCCGACCUGAGAGGGUGACCGGCCACAUUGGGACUGAGACACGGCCCAAACUCCUACGGGAGGCAGCAGUGGGGAAUAUUGCACAAUGGGGGAAACCCUGAUGCAGCGACGCCGCGUGAGCGAAGAAGUAUUUCGGUAUGUAAAGCUCUAUCAGCAGGGAAGAAGAAUGACGG